UACGGAAGGCAGCAGUGGGGAAUAUUGCACAAUGGGCGCAAGCCUGAUGCAGCCAUGCCGCGUGUAUGAAGAAGGCCUUCGGGUUGUAAAGUACUUUCAGUCGUGAGGAAGGUGUUAAGGUUAAUAACCUUAGCAAUUGACGUUAGCGACAGAAGAAGCACCGGCUAACUCCGUGCCAGCAGCCGCGGUAAUACGGAGGGUGCGAGCGUUAAUCGGAAUUACUGGGCGUAAAGGGCACGCAGGCGGUUAAUUAAGUUGGAUGUGAAAUCCCCGGGCUUAACCUGGGAAUGGCAUUCAAGACUGGUUAGCUAGAGUCUUGUAGAGGGGGUAGAAUUCCAUGUGUAGCGGUGAAAUGCGUAGAGAUGUGGAGGAAUACCGGUGGCGAAGGCGGCCCCUGGACAAAGGCUGACGCUCAUGUGCGAAGCGUGGGGAGCAAA
rnacentral:rRNA from 1 species